CCGGUUUUAGCUCAGUGGUAGAGCAGCUGACUGUAGUAUUAAAAAGUCAUCAGCUGGUCGCUAGUUCAAUCCUGGCAAACCGGA
rnacentral:tRNA from 1 species